UCUAACGUGGCAGAUAAGUGCGGUGGAUUUAAGCUCCAAGAAUAAAGUUGUUUACUAAACUUUCAUUAGAA
rnacentral:tRNA from 1 species